ACUCUCUUAGCUGCGUGCUCAGUCGAAGAGGACAGCCUUCCCCGAAUAGAGACGGACCAGUCUUCGGUCGAGGGUAUACGUGUAGCUGUGCUCCCCUGCUAGAACCUCCAAACAAGCUCUCAACAUGAAACAAANNNNNNN
rnacentral:sRNA from 1 species